CUUCACCAAUAAUGUAUCAGUGUCCUAGGUUUCCCACAUCCCUGCUAACAUUAAUCAUUUGAUAACCUUCUUUGAACAUACUAAUUGAAAUAAGGAUUUAAACCCUCCAAAAAAAUUAUCAAACAAAGAAACAAGUAGAAGAAUUAAAAUCUAAUCUAGACUGGAAGAUAAUAAUUUUGCAAAAGGAUAAGAUCUGAUCAUUUAAAAGAUGAGCCCAUUUAAUCUCUAUCAACAAUCACAACCAACUGCAAUCCAAUUAGGCCCUGCUUUUCUAUAACAUUGAAUAUAUCACUGGAUAGUUUCCAAAUGAGUAACUGCUGUAUUUUAUUUUUUAUUUUUUAGACUGCUGAGAAAAUACAAAAAUCAACUUUUGUAUUUAUGUUUACAAGUUUUUCCCAAAGGCAAUUAAGAGUUAUAGAUAGAUAGAUAGAUAGAUAGAUAGAUUUUGCCAGAGGGAAAUAAAGCUGAAAAUUGUAAACUUGUGAAGAGCAUGAUUUUUGUUUGAUGGUGAUGGAAAAAAAGAGGGAUGGUUAAGGAAGCCUCUAAAUCAUUUGAUAUCAUGUUACAUGACCUCAUCCCUUAACCCCCUUUGACUCAAUUUCUUCAUCUAUAAAAUGAUCUGGAGAAGGAAAUGUAUUGACCUUGCAAUCAGAGAAACAAAUUUAAAUGCCAUGUCUGACAUCAGUUCUGUGAUCAUGGGCAAGUCACAUUACCUCUCUGAGCCUCAGUGUCUCCAUUUGUAAAAUGAAGUUAAUAAUACCAAUAAUAACUAGGCUCACAAGUUUUUUUGUAUGGCUUAAACAAGAUAGUGUAUAUAGUUUUAUAAAUUUUAAAUCACUAUAGAAAUGACUAAUAAAAAUAAUAAUUUUUUCAGGGUCUCCCUGCAAUGCCAUAUUCCACAAAAGGAUUAUUAUUUAACAUUGAAAGAAGUAUGAAUUAAAUUAUGAAAACAUAAAUCAAGAAUACAUUACAGAAAGUACAUUUUAGUAUUAGAGCUAUAACUUUGUAUCUCCUGCCAUUUUGGUAACCACCAAAGGAGACCAUUGGAGAGCAUAUUCAUGUUAAUUAAUGUUGGCAAACAAUGGCUAUUCUGUCAGAAUCCUGACAUUGUUCCAUAUUCUCCCUAGAGGGAGGGAUGGACUAGAGUAUUCUCAGGAAGCACCCAAUCAGGAUCUGAGUCAGCCUCAAAAAACUGAAACAUCCUUUAUUGCUGGCUCAUUUCCUUAGCUUUGAAAGGCUAUCAGUGAGCUCUCAAGAAUAUGGUAUGUAAAGAGCUAUCUGUCUCCUUUGCACAACUGUCAAGAAAAGGCAAGUUCUGGUGAUCACAAGUGAUGGAUGAAUCAGUGCAGAACAAAUAAAAGUGUCGACUUCUUUUUAGGAUUUCCUAUAGCAUUUCUAGCUUGGAGCAAAAGUAGAAGAAAUAUAAGGAAUACUGGUAAAAUGUUUCUUCUGAUUCAAGAUUCAAGAACAGAUAAUAUCAUAUGAUGAUGUUUCAAAGAGUCAAACUUCCUCUUGUAAAAGGAUUUACUGUUAGCAAGAGGAAAAUUUCAUAAUUUUAACACUAUUUCAACUAUAACAUGAUUCAUAUCUUGAACUAGACUUUUGUAGAGUACUAUGUGUUUUGCCCCAUCCUAAGAACUGUCUCAAUAAAACCAAAAUUGUAAAUUAUCUGCCCCUAUUAGCCUGACAUUUUGCUUUAGAGAAAUCAAAAUAUCAUUAGAUUUCUUUUGGUUGCUGUUCAGUCAUUUCAGUCGUGUCUAACUUUUGU